UACGUAGGGUGCAAGCGUUGUCCGGAAUUAUUGGGCGUAAAGAGCUCGUAGGCGGCUUGUCGCGUCGAAUGUGAAAUCUCAGGGCUCAACUCUGACAUUGCAUUCGAUACGGGCAGGCUCGAGUUCGGUAGGGGAGACUGGAAUUCCUGGUGUAGCGGUGAAAUGCGCAGAUAUCAGGAGGAACACCGGUGGCGAAGGCGGGUCUCUGGGCCGAUACUGACGCUGAGGAGCGAAAGCAUGGGUAGCGAACAGG
rnacentral:rRNA from 1 species